AGAGCGAACGCUGGCGGCAGGCCUAACACAUGCAAGUCGAGCGCCCCGCAAGGGGAGCGGCAGACGGGAGAGUAACACGUGGGAACGUGCCCUUUGGUUCGGAACAACACAGGGAAACUUGUGCUAAUACCGGAUAAGCCCUUACGGGGAAAGAUUUAUCGCCAAAGGAUCGGCCCGCGUCUGAUUAGCUAGUUGGUGAGGUAACGGCUCACCAAGGCUACGAUCAGUAGCUGGUCUGAGAGGAUGAUCAGCCUCACUGGGACUGAGACACGGCCCAGACUCCUACGGGAGGCAGCAGUGGGGAAUAUUGGACAAUGGGCGCAAGCCUGAUCCAGCCAUGCCGCGUGGGUGAUGAAGGCCCUAGGGUUGUAAAGCCCUUUGGCGGGAAGAUAAUGACGGUACCGCAGAAGAAGCCCGGCUAACUUCGUGCCAGCAGCCGC
rnacentral:rRNA from 1 species